GCAGUGGGUACGGGCAGACUAGAGUGCGGUAGGGGAGAUUGGAAUUCCUGGUGUAGCGGUGGAAUGCGCAGAUAUCAGGAGGAACACCGAUGGCGAAGGCAGAUCUCUGGGCCGAACUGACGCUGAGGAGCGAAAGGGUGGGGAGCAAACAGGCUUAGAUACCCUGGUAGUCCACCCCGUAAACGUUGGGAACUAGUUGUGGGGCCGUGACGCAGCUAACGCAUUAAGUUCCCCGCUUGGGGAGUACGGCCGCAAGGCUAAAACUCAAAGGAAUUGACGGGGACCCGCACAAGCGGCGGAGCAUGCGGAUUAAUUCGAUGCAACGCGAAGAACCUUACCAAGGCUUGACAUACAGGUGGUGCAUGGUUGUCGUCAGCUCGUGUCGUGAGAUGUUGGGUUAAGUCCCGCAACGAGCGCAACCCUCGUUUUAUGUUGCAACUCAUGGGAUACUGCCGGGGUCAACUCGGAGGAAGGUGGGGAUGACGUCAAAUCAUCAUGCCCUUAUGUCUUGGGCUUCACGCAUGCUACAAUGGCCGGUACAAAGGGCUGCAAUACCGUAAGGUGGAGCGAAUCCCAAAAAGCCGGUCCCAGUUCGGAUUGAGGUCUGCAACUCGACCUCAUGAAGUCGGAGUCGCUAGUAAUCGCAGAUCAGCACGCUGCGGUGAAUACGUUCCCGGGUCUUGUACACACCGCCCGUCAAGGGCGA
rnacentral:rRNA from 1 species